rnacentral:lncRNA from 1 species
ACCUUUGCAUUUCCUUUAUGCAAUAGACAUGAGUAAGAGAGUUUUAGAAUUCUUUUCUAUUCCUGUACAGAUUAUGUACGCUUUGAUUAUCAACAUGUUAGCUCAGAUAUAUAUUUUGUUCAUUGAUUUCUAAAUGGUUAUACAAGUGUCCCCACUUGGAUAAUCAUGGCAUUUAUUCACAUGUUGAUACACUUUUUCAAUUACCCGUAUACAUAUAUGUUGAAUUACAUAUUAUUGUUGAGCAAGAUUAAAAACCUUCGGGUUUGGAACCAGGCAUGUAUGAACAUCCCUAUAUGGGAAAAUUUUUGCGCCCGAGGCGGACAGAAUAAAAUGAUGAAUUUCGUUCAGAGUUAUGUAGUAUUGAUCAAUAAAGGGUACAACGGGGCUGAUCACCCUCCGUACCCGUGAGCUAGAACAGCUUACAGAUGGAUUUCUGCCAAACCUUUUCGAAAAUGAAAAACAAUGUUCAUAAUAUGUUUCUUAAACCCUAUUCAUGUGUAGAGCCAGAGCCAAAUUUAAAUAAUUUGGAAGAGAAUUAUUAUGUGAAUUUUUUACGUACAGAUUACUUCACAACUUUCUCGAUUCGUUGUAGAAGUGUUAUAUAAAGAGAAUACUUAUAUUCCUUCAGCUUAUAUAUAUAUAAUUUCUAUCACUUGCUGGGCACUCAAAUGUUCAUCCUUGCUUAAAUUAAAUAUUUUCAGUUACGUAUGAGCAACCUGAAGGUUCUGGCACGCAUAAAGGGAAAGAAAAGUUGUUCGAAUGAGAAUUAGUAUGAGUUAAUGGUUAUAGUUAGUAAGACAAUGGAAUCUAUUGUCAGGUAUUGUAAGGAAUGUAUUUUGAAGCUCACGUACCUGGGGAAGUAAACUUUGAUGUAUGUAAAUUAAGUUCGAAUUAUAUUAUCAUUUAGUAUUAUUCAGCUUAAAGAAAUGGUAUCGUGGAGAACCGAGUUCGGGUUGCAAGUACCCGGAUUUGGGGUCGCCACAGGUUAUGCGUGUAAUGUUAAUGUGUGGAACAGUUUUAUUGUAUUACGACUAAACCCUAAUAAUAUUUUUAUAAUCCCUAAUACUAGUCUGAUAAACCCUAAUUCUGGUGCUGGAUUAAGGAAUAAUGAUAAUAAUAAUAUAAUACUAAUUAUAUUUUGAUUUUUCAGUGCUAUAAAUAUAUACUGUAUAUGCGUGGACUUAUAGUAUUGGUUAAAAUAUUGCGUAAAAUGCCAAAACCCUAGUUUAAGCUGUUAAACCCUAAGUUAAAGCCGAAUGCCGGCUUAAGACUAUUAUAUAAUCAGGUUAAUGUGAUUUAUGAUUGGUGUUAUAUGUAUUAAACCUAAUUAGGGAGAAUCGUAAUUAUUCAAAAUCCUUAUUAUUUUUCUAUAUUAUAAACCCUAAACUCUAAAUUAGUAACCUUAUUUUGUAAUUAUAAACCCUAAUUAUAUUUGAAUUUUUAUUAAACCCUAAUUUGUAAACUUAGACCGGAGGUUUGAUCUGUCAAGAAUUGUGUUACUCUGAUUAAUAACACGUGUGAUAGACUUUAAUUGCUAAUUAAAAUAAACUUAAUUAGUAAAUUAAAACCCUAAAACCUAGAACCCUAAUUUAAUUUCUAGAAACCCUAAUUGUAUUAUGGAAACCCUAAUUUUUGGUAUUAUAAACCUUAACUGUUAUAAUUGGCAAGGUUAAUUUUGAUUAGUGGUAUUAAUACCCUAAUGUCCCUGUAUGAUAAUUAAAAACUUAAUUUAAUUAACAAGUUAUUUUUUUUCAAAAUUUUAAAAACUAAAUUUUUUUUAUUUCAUUUCUAAACCCUAGUUGCUAAAAUUAAUUUAUGCUAUGUGCUAAACCUUAGGGUUGAACCCUAAGGAUUAAACCCUAAGGGUUUGUCAAGAUGACAAUUUUGCCAUUAAAUGGAAUUAUCAAAAGACUAUUUUUCCCCUAGUGCAUUAUUUGAGCUAACUUGUAAGUUUGGCCAAUACUUUAGUUGCUCAACAACUCCCAACAACUCCACAUGCACGAUUUUGCCAGCAAUCAGCCUCUAGAAUGACCAAUACAUGCAUCUAAAUUGUUUAUAUAUAGAUUAGAGAGAGAAUUAUUUCAUUUUGUUCACUAACAUUUGUCCAAUACUCAACCAAUCCUCUCUCUCACUAAAAACUCCAAAAAUAUCAAGCAAAUCAGUCCCAAAAUCCAGCCCCACAUUUAUCAUAACAACAUCAAUAGCCAAAAAUCAGAAAUCAAACCAAGAAAGGUAUAAAACCCUACCUUGAAUUUCUGUCCAAAAGUUGUUGUUAGAUCUUGUGAAUUGAUGUUGUAAUAUGUUGUUUGUAGUCUAAAUUAAUGAUCUGGGUUGGUAUACUGUAAGUCCAUAACAUCUAAAUACUCAAAUCAAUGAUUUUCAAAAAUCUGGAAAAUGUAUUUCUGUUGUCUGACAUCAAAUGUCAGGGACUGUAGAUCGUUGUGUGUUUAUUGUUUUUGUUGUUUAAGUGUUUACAUUUGUAGCCUUGUAUGAGAUCUUUAAUCUGAAAGUGGAUUCACUGUCAUUGGAUGUCUAGAUCAAAAGAUAUUGAUGGUCAAAGGUCGUUGACCGACCAUGACCGGGAAGAAAUCUGGGUAAACCCAGAAAAUUUUUAGCGUCUGACAGCAUGUUGAACGACUUUGAUCUGACUGAUUUAAUGAUUGUUUGAUAUUGUUAUUGUAUUAAAGUUGUAGCCUGUUAUCUGGACUAUAACUAAGUGCCUCUAGAUAUCUUAAUUCUUCAAUAAAUCGAACGUAGCAUGUGGUCAAACCUAGUCCCUCGAUCACGAAUUCUGUUUCUGGGAAAUUUCCAGAAAAUUGUUGGUCUUAUUUCUGACAGGGUUUGACCGAGUUAGAUCUUGUAAAUCUGUUAAUGUUAAACUUAUCUGUUGAUGUGGUGUUGUUCCUUGACACGAGUACUACAGAUUUAAACCUUCAAAUUGCAUGAACCAUGAUCAGAACUACUAUUAAUUUGAGCAUGAAAGUGCUCAGUCGACACCUGGGUUUCUGGGAAAACCCAAAAAUCGUCUAACAGCUACUUUGCUGGCAUAGAUCAACUUGUUAUGUUGUUGUUUGAUCAUAUUAAGUUAUGAAACUUGUAUAGUUACAUCAAACCUACAAUAAUUAGGUUUUAUAUUGGACAGAAACGAUCUAUAAAUGAAAUUAUAGCCGGUCAAACGUGACCCCUAAACCACUGAGCUAUCAGUGUUCUUGAGGCUCAAGAACACCAAUAGCGACGCUUUUUGUCGCUAAAGACCUACAGCGACAGUUCUUUUGGCUAGACUUGACAUAUUGAGUGGAUUGUUGAUAAUCUAUUCAUCUGUUAUCAAAUGUGAUUAUCUUUUGUUAACUACUUGAUAUGGUUUUCAAAAGAAUACUGAAAUGUUAAACAAAAGUUGUGUCGGUAAAACAACAGGCACGUGAGGUUGCCAAAUGAUUAAACGUACAUACGUUUAAUGGAUGUAGUGUUGAUCAACAUAGAGUAUAAUAGGCUGAUCACCUAGAAGUGCUCGUAAGUAAUACUGGGCUUAUGGACUUAGUUCCGGGUUGUCCUUUUCAAAGAAAGAAUGAAUACUCGAGGUCUUUGACCGAAGUGAAUGUUUUACUAAAUAUUAUUCAUUGUGAAACAUUUUGAAAGAAAGAUGAAGUGCUAUUUUGAAUUAUCAAUAGUACUUCAUAACUAUUGUUCAGUUAUCGAAGAUAUACGAUUCAUAUGUAUCAAGCAUGUUGUUAUUGAAAUUGUUAUACUUGUUGAUCUAGUUAUGCUCACUCUUGCUUGAACCAUAUGAAUGCAGCUAAGACUGAACGUCCCGAAGGAUCGAAAAAGGAUAAAGGAAAAGCUAAGGAAGAUUAUUAAGCUGUCUUGUAAUGGUAUAGGUCUAUUGUUGUAAUGUAAUGAAUAUUAUCGUCCAAUCAUGUGAAUUUCGGCAAAACUACAUUCUUAAUGAUUCUAAAUGGAUUUCAACCAACAUAUGAUCAUUACAAGUUACUUACUACACCAACUUAUAAUCAAAGUAGGUUUUGACUUAUUCUCAUAAGUCAAUGACUUAAUUGACUUAUUAACUACAAAUCCUUAUGCUUAUGACUUACUAUAACAUUAGUCCAUCAAUCAAUGUUCUCAUGCUAUAUUCAAUACACUAACAUCAUAUGACAAACAUAUGAUAAGUUCUUUAUGAUUCUAACAACUUAUUAAAGUUCAAGUUGUUAAUUCAACUUAUUCGGCUUAAGUUCAUUCCUUAAUAACUUAUUACAUGUUCUUAACAAACGAUCUCCCUUCUAUCAAUCCUAUCAUAAAAGAGAUGUAGAUAAAAGAUACGAGUCUUACCCUUGAAGACUAUUACUUUACUUCACUUUGGAAAAUCUAGCAAAGGUUGAAGUGGCUUAUAAGUGCUUAAGUGGCUUAUUCUCUCUAACAAUUAAGUUGCUUAUCUUUGAGAGGAGUUGGGAGAAAUUGAAUAACCAACAAUUGAAGUGAGACUCUCUAUUUAUAGGUAACCAAAAGCUAGGGCAUUAUAGUCAAUUGGACAUUCCACCUCCUUUAAUCACCUCCUUAAUACACCUCAUUACUAUUCAAUGCUUAUCAACCAAGUCUACUUGCUAGCCACUUCUAUUACUUGAUCACUACAACACUUGGUCACCACACAUAAUGUUUGCCCAUCAAGUCUACCCAUUUCUCACUUGGUUUGCUCCAUGGAUCAUGGCUUCUCAUUGGGCUUGUUAAUUAAAUCUAACUACUUCCUUAUUGGGCUUAUGCUACCAUAGUUUGGACUCAAGAUCUAUCAAACACUUGGGCUUGAUUGUCACCUUCUAUUGGACUUCUCUUAUUAGACUAAUAAUCUUACAAGUCCAUUACCUUAGAUUUAACAACUUAACAUUUAUACCCCAUGUAUAAUCCUCAUAUGUAGCUCGUAUAUUAAUUCGUAAUAUAUGUUAUCUCAUUCUUCAUACAUAAUAGUACAAUACAUCGUAUUAUACUUACAUUCAUUACCUUCAUAUAAUGAAUACACAUUAUACGAUCACAACUUUCUUCCUUUAACGCUUAAUAAACCUAACAUUCCCAAAUUAAGUCCGCAUGCGAAAUAUUACAUUUUUCAUACUUAGAUUAUUAUUACAUAAUCCAUAUCACCUUGAUAAUAUAACAUUACGUAUUUAUCAGAAGUUCAAAAAUAAUUUUCGAGCAGAAAUCUAUGAAUAGUGUUUUUUCAGAAAAUUCCUCGGAAAGCUUUUAUUUUCGUCUUAGAAAUUCAAACACUUUAAUUCUCCCACUUAGUUAAAAUACUACGACAUUCCAACGUUUCUAGGUUAUAGAACGACAUUUGUCUUAUCCAUACGUAGUAAUAAUAAAUAAUACUAUUUUAUUCAUUAUUAUAAGUAUUUACAAAGGUUCGAUUUUCUGGGGCAUUACACAAAAAGCCCAGAAAAAAAUAUUAUGACUAAAGAUAAUCAAAUUAUUAAUAUCAUUUAUCAGUAAUAUAUCAGAUAUUUCAAAUAUAUGGUAGAUGAUAAAAGUGUUCAACCAUAAUUGCAGCGGAAUAAAAAAUCCAUUAGAAGAGUCAAGUAAAACAUAAUGUCAACUAUCUCCUCAAAAUUAAAAGUCCAUCAUUAAUAUUUCAUUCAUGUAAUACCCAUCAACAGUUCUUUGUUGUACCCAAGACAGAGAACUUUCAUCACAUGUCUUCACCUGAACCACCAAAGAGUAUAGUUUAAUUCACAAUUCAUGUUUAUAAUCAUGUAAAUUAAUAGUUUCUCCUUGCCACAAAGGCUUAAUAGAACAUUCACUCAAUAUCCUUGCGCGAAGGCUAAAGACACUCAAUAAUCAUAUCGUCUUUACACCUUACACCAAAGACAUUUAAAUGUAACAAUAAUUAUCAUGAUCAUACCAAUCAAUUGUCUAUCUUUGUACUACGAACCAGAGAUAUUCAACUGUAAUAUCAAUGGUCAUAAUCAUACCAUUCAAUUAUUUAUCUUUGCACUACGGUCCAAAGAUGUUCAACAGUAAAAUCAAUAAUCAACAGUCCAUCUUUGCAUUAUGGGCCUAAGACAUACAACUGUAAAACCAAUAAUCAACAGUCCAUUAUUACACUAUAGACCAAAGACAUACAACUGUAAGACUAAUAAUCAACAGUUCGUCUUUGCAAUACGGGCCAAAGACAUACAACUGCAAUACCAAUGUUCAUGAUUAUACCAAUAUACAAUUUCGGUCAUGAUUAUAUCAAUACACAAUUCCUGGUCAUAAUCAUACCAAUCAACAGUUCAUCUUUUCACUAAGGGCCAAAGAUAACUUUCCAACACAAAUUUAUUUCUGAGGAUUAUAACAAUGAUAUAAAGAAUGAAUCAAGUGAGAUUAAAGAUAUAUAUUAGAGAUUUAUAAUUCAAUUUAUCCAGAAUUCAAGAAUGUCAAAAUUGUCAACAUGAAGAUCAAAACAUGGAUUCAAUUUCAAGAAUAAGAUUCAUAAAAGAUAACUUGGACAAAGAAAAGAAAAUUAAAUUCCACUUUGAAUAGUACUCAUGAAUAGUGCCAUAUGAAUAGUACCCAUGAAUAGUAUAGUAUGAAUAAUACCCUGACAUAAAUAGUAACCUGAAUGAAUAGAACCCUAUCAUGCAAAGUACCCCUGUAACGACUGAGAAAAUCGGAUUAUAAUGUAAAUUAAAUUUAUUUGAUUAUACUGAAUAAAAUUAUAUAAUAUGUUUAUUAUAACGAGUAAGCUAGUUGAAAGUCAUUCUAUAACCUAGAAGGGAUGUAUGAUUGUAGUAUUUUGGCUACGUGCUAGAGAUAAAGUGUGUGAAUUUCCAAGAUGAAAAUAAAAGCUUUCCGAAAAAUUCUCCAAAAACCACUAUUCAUCCAUUUUUCCUCGGGAAUUAGUUUUGAAUUUUUGGGAAAUACGUUAUGAUAAAAUUUUGAAGAAAGAUGGAUUAUAUAAUAAUAAUUCAGUUAUGGCAAACACAGUUUUUCGACUGCGUACUCAAUUUGAGAAUGUUAGGGAAUGUGAAGAUUUGAAUAAGUAAUGAUGAUGUAUAAUAAUAAAGUUAUUAUGCGGGGAAAGAAUACUAGUAUAAUACAAGGUAUUGUAUAAGUAUAUACAAAAAAUAAUACGGCGUAUAAUAUGAAUAUUAUAGGAAAUAUUAUAUGAGAAGAAUACAGAAUUAUACGCUAGAAGUACAAACCAUUCUUAAUGGACUAGUAACGAUUGCCUUUGAACUUUGGCAAGCCCAAAUGAAAGAUGAUUGAGGCCCAAUAACAAAAUUAAUUAAGGCCCAAAGAUAAUUUAAUUCAAGCCCAAAGUUAGGCCCGAAUUGAAUUAAACUUAAGCCCGAACCAAGAACUGAACCCAUGGAUCGAACCGUUGGAUCACCGGGUUAGUAACAACCACUAGGGCAACCCAUGGGAGGGCCCCACACCCCAUGUGGUAGUCCAUAAUGUCCAUGUGGUGGUCAAGCUUCUUUGAGAAGCUUGGUUAAGGAGGUGGAAUAGUAAGGAGGUGGGAUUUUUAACUAUUUUGCCCUCACUUUGCAAUUCUAUAAAUAAAAAGCUUAGGUUUUCAUUUGUUGGUUGUUCAACAACUUAAGCAAUAUAUUGAGAGAGAGAAGAGAAAGCUGUAACAAUGAAUUAAAGAGAAAAGAAGCUAGUUAAGCUUUUAUCAAGAAAAAAACUCAAGAACACGAAGAAUGCGAGAGGUAUAAACACUUAAAUCAUUUAUUUUCCUUCUCUUUUCUAUUUUGAUUUAGUAGAGAAAUGAAAUUGGUGGUAUAUGUAUCAUAAGGAGUAAUAAGGAUGGCUAUUAGUGGACUUUAAAAAUUAAUAACCAUGUAUCAAGUGAAAUCAUAAUCAAAUGAUUAAGAACAUAAUGAAGAGAAUAAGAAAACUUAAUACAUGUUGUUGUUGAUGGACAAGUUUAAAACCAUCGUGUAUAGGAUUUGAUGUUAUAUGCUUGAUUUUGAUUGUAGAUGGUUAAAUAAUGGAAUGAAUCCAUUUGCAACGGAGUAAAAAAUCUCAUAUAACAAAAUUAUGGCGAAAUUUCUAAAAAAAGGCGUUAAUAGUUGAAAUCAUAGUUAACUAGGAUUUUUGAAUGAAAAUAAAGUGUUAAUAAUGAAUGUAGAAAGCUAGGGUUUCAUGAAUGUAUUGAAGACCAUGAAAUUUAUGAGUCAUAAACUCAAGAACUGAUGAAUUCAGACAUCAUAUGAAUGAAUUACGGAUGAACGAGCGAUGAAUGCUCAAAAACGUUAAAACUAACGAAUAAUGGAAAUUUAGUCAAAUGGAAGCCUCAUUAACAAAUUCAAAAAAUUGUUCUGUCCAAGGGAAAUCGUAGGAUGAAGAAUAAACAAGAAAUAGGCUUUUGAACAAAAUAAUUCAAAGCUAUAACGAAUAAGUUACGAGCUCGGAAAACGAACAACUUGAGAAAUUGAAAAAAAAUUCAAAGGUAUAAAGGAGGCAUCGCAGCGCCGCCCAAUGAAGGAUUUGGGGAACCAAAGCCCCAGCACCGGAUCCCAGCUACUGUAAAUAUAUGCUGCAGCGUAGCAUUUAACAAAGAACACGGCGCCGCAGUGCCAGUCCUAGUCCAAAGGCAGAGAAGAAUAGUUAUGAACAU